AUUUUAUGAUGUAGGCAUUGUAUUUGUAACUCCCCAAUCUUUCCCAACCUUCAAAAAAUUCUUCCGUAUGUUUUUGUCUAAAAGUUUGAAUUUUGUUACUUAACUC
rnacentral:snoRNA from 1 species